UAACCCCUAAUUCACUCUCGAAUUGGGUUUGAUCGUGGAGAAUGGCUGUGUUAUGAUGUACGGGAACACUUUUUUGCGUUUUAAGGGUGGUUGUUUAGGUUCUGUUUGUGAUUUGCUAUUACAAUCUAUCAAUCGAUAUAAUGAUAUCAUAUGCUUUGUGGAGAAAACUUCACAGGUCAACAAAUAUAAAACUGGAUUAAGUAUCUUAAAGUUUUAUUAAACGAGCCGCUUAUGUAGGUGUGUGAAAGUGGUUUAUUGGGGGUGGAGAUUAGCCGGUCAGAGGCAAAAUUGCACAUUUUUAUGGCCAACAGAAUUAUUCAUAGGUGAAUUAAUAAAAUAAGAGCACCACAUCAGCUAGGGCCAGUAUUGCAUCUUGGAUUAACAAGCGAACGGCUGAACACCAUGAGGUUUUAUCACAGGACUACGAAACUACUUCCAAAUGCACAUCAACAGUUUUGAAAUGGGCGUCUGCACAGAUUUCCAGCUGCGUGUCGGGACUGGCUGCACGCGCCCAAAGGCGCCACCACUGCUGCUCAGUCAGCAGCUCCCCCUGAAUUCACACUGAAGGAUCAGAGUACCCACCCACCAGGUACCAGAGUAUGACAGGAUCUUCCCACUCAUCAGAAACCUGUUGAAAGGCAGACUGAACGGCACUGAUGAGCUUAAUGCAAUAAUCAACCAGGCUAGGUGAAGCAACCAGCAAGGGAACUGCUUCCACCCACCUCGAGAAUUUGUCCACAAUGACAAGUACAUCUGAAUAACCGUGACUUUUCGGCAGAGUGAUGUAGUCCACUUGGAGAUGGAGAAAGGGACCAGGUGGAGCAGCCGCCACUAGAGCUGGUGUCGGUGUUCCUGGACCUGCAUUAUUCUUCUGACAGCACUGCUUCACCUGCUGUCUUGAGAAAGCUCCUCUGGAAGGUAGCAGUGUUCAGAAACAGCGGACACAGAUGAAGGAGGGUCAAGCGUGUGCAGGCGGGGUGUUCCUCCUGGUCACUAACACGCCUGCGGGAAGAUGGAUAUCUUAGAUGGAGCCACUAAUUCCUACUGAGAUUGUUUUUGAUAAGUGGAGAUAGGAGAGAUCACACUUGAAUAAAUGUGCCCUUUUUUAGAGUUCAAGGGGACUCUGCCCUGUAUUUUGAAUAUCUUAACUAAUAAGUUCAGUGAGAGUAAGUAGGAUAGGAAUGUGGACAUACAGGAAUCAGUCCAGUGAAAGCGGACUGUUUACAGCUUGAGCUAUGACCUUUCAAACAAAUCACAGGUACUGUGAAGAUUAGUCCUCACUGUGAUAUUGUGUGUGACAAAGUGAGAGUGUUUCCCCUAGCAGAUCUAGCCCUCAGCUUGGCCAUGCUGGUGCUGCACUUUCUGAUUGGUCAGAUACCCUGUUGUAUUUAUUUAUAGAUUACCCUAAAUAAAUGUAUGUUCAGUUCUAGAUUAAAAUCUUUAUAGAGAUAUUUUUGGUAAACACACAAGUGCAAUUGUGUAUCGCUAUUUUGUUGGGCAUUUGUCCAGUGGGACCUAAAGAAUUCAGUACGAAAUGAAAGUGCUUAGCGUUUAUCCAUCCAUCCAUCCCUCCAUCCAUCCAUCCAUCCAUCCAUCCAUCCAUCUUUAUCUCUCUGUUAGAUUCUGCAGUACAGUGUCAUAUUUAGCCCAGAGUCAGUCCCAGGAAGCACAUGCAACACCCUAGAAAUAAUAAAAAGCAUUUUCUUGAGUUAGUAAUUUUGUGUAAGAUGGAUGGAUAAAUUCAGCUAUGAAAAGCUUUUUUUUUUUGAUAUUAUAAAUAUUUUAUUUGUUGCGGACUCCCUUUACAAUUUCAUUUCACUUUGUAAUUUUAGGUUGUGUUUUUGUUAGUUAUUUGUUUUUAUUUAUUAAAGUGAACAUGUGUGAUUAUCAUUU